rnacentral:rRNA from 1 species
UUCCGGUUGAUCCCGCCGGACCACACUGCUAUCGGGAUAGGACUAAGACAUGCUAGUCAAGCGCUUUCUAGCUAAUAUGAAAGUGCGGCAUACAGCUCAGUAACACGUGGCUAACCUGCCCUUAGGACGGAAACAACCCCGGGAAACUGGGGCUAAUUUCCGAUAGGUGAAAAAUUCUGGAAUGAAUUUUCGCCAAAAAGACGUUUAUGUUAUGCUCAUAUGUGUCGCCCAGGGAUGGGGCCGCGACCGAUCAGGUUGUUGGUGAGGUAAUGGCUCACCAAGCCUUUUACCGGUACGGGCCGUGAGAGCGGGAGCCCGGAGAUGGGCACUGAGACAAGGGCCCAGGCCCUACGGGGCGCAGCAGUCGCGAAAACUUUGCAAUACACGAAAGUGUGACAAGGCUAUCCCGAGUGCCAUCCGCUGAGGAAGGCUUUUACCUAGUAUAAAUAGCUGGGAGAAUAAGGAGAGGGCAAGACUGGUGUCAGCCGCCGCGGUAAUACCAGCUCUCCGAGUAGUGUGGACGUUUAUUGGGCCUAAAGCAUCCGUAGCUUGCUAAGCAAGUCCCCUGUUAAAUCCACCGAUUCAAUCGGUGGAUUGCGGGGGAUACUGUUUGGCUGGGGGACGGGAGAGGCCGACGGUAUUUCCGGGGUAGGGGUGAAAUCCUAUAAUCCCGGGAGGACCACCAGUGGCGAAGGCUGUUGGCUAGAACGCGCCCGACGGUGAGGGAUGAAAGCUGGGGGAGCGAACCGGAUUAGAUACCCGGGUAGUCCCAGCUGUAAACGAUGCAGGCUAGGUGUUUGGGCGGCCACGAGCCGCCCUAGUGCCGCAGGGAAGCUGUUAAGCCUGCCGCCUGGGGAGUACGGCCGCAAGGCUGAAACUUAAAGGAAUUGGCGGGGGAGCACCACAAGGGGUGAAGCUUGCGGUUUAAUUGGAGUCAACGCCGGAAA